rnacentral:rRNA from 1 species
AUGGCGACGGGGGAUGGAGCGGAGGGGACUGGCAGAAGAGGGGUCCCUUCCCUGCUCGCCGACGGCGGGACCGGGCAGGAGGAGCAUAUCGCCUCCGACGUCACCCAGCUGAUAGGGUGGACGCCGCUGAUCGAGCUGAAGCGGAUCUCCGGGAAGGAGGGGGUGGGUGCCCGCAUCGUCGGCAAGAUCGAGGCCUACCAGCCCCUCUGCUCCGUCAAGGACCGCAGCGCUCUCAGGAUGAUCGAGGAUGCUGAAGAGAAGGGGCUGAUUUCACCCGGUGUCACGACUCUAGUCGAGCCGACCAGCGGUAAUUUAGGCCUUGGAUUGGUUCUGGUUGCUCUUAGCAAAGGCUACAGGUUCGUCGCGGUGAUGCCGGGCCAAUACUCGCUUGAUAAGCAGAUCUUGUUGAGAUACAUGGGUGCUGAGUUGUUCAUAACUGAUCCAACACUUGGGUUUCCGGGACUAGUCGACAAGGUCGAACAGCUCAAGAAAGAAUUACCGAACGUACACGUUCUUGAUCAGUUCGCAAAUCCAGCAAAUCCUGAUGCACACAUCAGAUGGACUGGACCUGAGAUUUGGAAGGAUACUGCUGGCAAGGUGGACAUAUUCGUUGCUGGUUCAGGCUCAGGAGGUACAGUAUCUGGUGUCGGAAAGUAUCUGAAGAUGCAAAACCCAAAUGUGAAGAUCAUUUGUGUGGAACCUGCAGAGAGUCCAGUUAUUUCAGGUGGGGAACCAGGAAAACAUAAAAUCCAGGGAAUAGGACCAGGAUUCUUACCUGAGAUCUUGGACACCUCGAUCAUCGAUGAGACGGUCACCGUGACCACCGAGGACGCAAUGACGAAUGCGAGGAGGUUGGCAAUGGAAGAAGGCCUGCUUGUGGGCAUAUCUUCUGGGGCAAACCUGGCAGCUUGCUUGAAGGUCGCAGCAAGAGAAGAGAACAAGGGGAAGAUGAUUGUGACCAUGUUCCCGAGCGGGGGCGAGAGAUACAUGAACUCUGACCUCUUUGCAGCUGUAAGAGAGGAGUGUAUUGCCAUGACCUUUUGA